rnacentral:tRNA from 1 species
GGGGAUGUAGCUCAGUUGGUUAAGAGUGCCUGCCUAGCAUGCAGGAGGACUUGGGAUCAAGAAGCCCCA